rnacentral:rRNA from 1 species
AUUGAACGCUGGCGGCAUGCUUUACACAUGCAAGUCGAACGGCAGCACGGGAGCAAUCCUGGUGGCGAGUGGCGAACGGGUGAGUAAAGUAUCGGAACGUGCCCAGUCGUGGGGGAUAACCUAGCGAAAGUUACGCUAAUACCGCAUACGAUCUAUGGAUGAAAGCGGGGGAUCGCAAGACCCCGCGCGAUUGGAGCGGCCGAUAUCAGAUUAGGUAGUUGGUGGGGUAAAGGCCCACCAAGCCGACGAUCUGUAGCUGGUCUGAGAGGACGACCAGCCACACUGGGACUGAGACACGGCCCAGACUCCUACGGGAGGCAGCAGUGGGGAAUUUUGGACAAUGGGCGAAAGCCUGAUCCAGCCAUGCCGCGUGCAGGAUGAAGGCCUUCGGGUUGUAAACUGCUUUUGUACGGAACGAAAAGGACUGCCCUAAUACGGUGGUCCCAUGACGGUACCGUAAGAAUAAGCACCGGCUAACUACGUGCCAGCCGCCGCGGUAA